AGAGCGAACGCUGGCGGCAGGCUUAACACAUGCAAGUCGAGCGCCCCGCAAGGGGAGCGGCAGACGGGAGAGUAACACGUGGGAACGUACCUUUCGGUUCGGAACAACCCAGGGAAACUUGGGCUAAUACCGGAUACGUCCGUAAGGAGAAAGAUUUAUCGCCGAAAGAUCGGCCCGCGUCUGAUUAGCUAGUUGGUGAGGUAACGGCUCACCAAGGCGACGAUCAGUAGCU
rnacentral:rRNA from 1 species